AUUGAACGCUGGCGGCAUGCUUUACACAUGCAAGUCGAACGGUAACAGGGUGCUUGCACCGCUGACGAGUGGCGAACGGGUGAGUAAUGCGUCGGAACGUGCCGAGUAGUGGGGGAUAACGCAUCGAAAGGUGUGCUAAUACCGCAUACGUACUGAGGGAGAAAGUGGGGGACCUUCGGGCCUCACGCUAUUCGAGCGGCCGACGUCUGAUUAGCUAGUUGGUGAGGUAAAGGCUCAACAAGGCGACGAUCAGUAGCGGGUCUGAGAGGAUGAUCCGCCACACUGGGACUGAGACACGGCCCAGACUCCUACGGGAGGCAGCAGUGGGGAAUUUUGGACAAUGGGCGCAAGCCUGAUCCAGCCAUGCCGCGUGUCUGAAGAAGGCCUUCGGGUUGUAAAGGACUUUUGUCCGGGAGCAAAUGCCUGGUGUUAAUAGCACUGGGAGCUGAGAGUACCGGAAGAAUAAGCACCGGCUAACUACGUACCAGCAGCCGCCGUAACAC
rnacentral:rRNA from 1 species